AUCAUUGCAAUCCUUAAAAUAAAUAGAGGACUUAUUUACCUUAACUUAGGUUGCAGCUCAGGAUAGCCCGAGAUUACAACCGACGACACGGACGAGGCAACACCAACAACCGGCAGCAGCAGCGGAAACAAUGGACUAACACCCAACACCACAGGCGACGGCUGGGAACUAGGACGAAACCCAAAUCUUUGCUUCAACUUCAUCUUCAGAGCUGGCAGAACUAUAUAUAUAUAUAUAUAUAUAUAUAUAUAUAUAUAUAUAUAUAUAUAUAUAUAUAUAUAUAUAUAUAUAUAUAUAGAGCAAGGGUGAGUAUUUACGUACUCAGCAAGCCAGGGGAACUUAGGUGGUUAAUGCAAGCUUCAAGGGAAGGCUGUUAUUUUUCAAUCAGUUUUAUUUGCAAGCAUUUUGACAAUCUAAGUGUGUUCAUUCCGCGACCAGAGCGAGACAAGUCUCAGCUCGGCCGAGGGUGAGGAGUGAACAAUAUUAUUUUAUCAAGAUUUGCACAACUCCCGGAGUUGGCCUCAAAGCUGGUUUCCCAAACCAAACCAAUUUUCCAGACUUUCAAAGUUUUGGUUGUCUCCAAACAACCAGUCACUUUUAGGGACUCCCUGUCCCGCUGUCUCCCUGACAGCCACUUGCCUUUCCAAACAUCAGGUUUCCCAAACCACAUCACUUUUUCAUAAAACAGGGUAAAACAAAAACUACGCUAAGGAAUCACCUCACAUCCACCCAUGACCGUGGGCACGGCUGUUCGAACAGUUUGUUAACCUCUGCAGAGGGGGUAGACUUUACCCACACGACAUUACUAACCCGGAUCACCCAGCCCGUGGGGAUCAGCCACGUCGGGAGACCUCCAAGCUUUCAUGACAAGGCAUUUCCAAAGCCGACACAGGUUUACCAUAUGCCGACGAGAGGGGUCCAAGAUCAACAACAGGUUAGGUCCCAAACCAUACUGUACCAGGAAGCCCAGGGGUCCCUCCCCGACACUACCCCGGCGAAUCCACUUGUCUCUCGGCAUCAAGGCUCCCCUGAUUAGCUAAUUACUCAGCCAGGGGUGUCCCAUUCCACCCGUGUGGUCGCACUAUUGUAUGCUCGGAUGUAAUUGCAAAGGAAUCGGUCCUUAGAUGCGACCGCACAAGCAUCCCGCCCAGGAAUGGUCUUGUGUCGCGAGUUUUAUUUUUUUAAAACUCAUUUUCUUUCACAAGGCACCGACCCAGGCGUCGGGUUUUCCAAUCCUUUUGUAAACCAAGUUUUACCCAAGAUGUUUCUCAUUUUUUUUUAGUUUGAAUGCGACCAUCGAUACUCGUGUAGAGUGCACGAAUACCAAGGCACGACUAGGCAGUUACAAGGGAACAUGAUAUAGCAAUUAACAAUGGAAGGAUCAAAUGCAACAAGUUAGGUAUGCCUACCGAUCUGCCUCGCAGACAGGGCAAACAUAUUAAGUGCAAACCUAUCAAUGCAUAAUAUUUUGAAAGCAAUAUAAUUAAGUUCAAAUAUAGGCUCAAGAUGUUCAAAGGUGGCUUGCCUUGCUCAGAGUCUUCACGGAGCUUCGCGAAUCUUCGAGAUAUCCACGAUCGACCGAAAAUCCGGUAACCGCAACUAAGCGCAAACAAUGAAAACCUAAACAAAAGACCAAAUAAAAUAUCCUAUUUGGACUAAAAUAAUAGUGCCAUUAAAUAGAUCUCAAUUUUACGGAAUUAUUGGAAGUGGAACGGAGUCAAACGGAGUUACGGAUCACGAGGUAUGAAUUUUGGAAGUUUAUUUGAAUUAAGGGAAAUAUUUGUGGAACAAGGGAAAUUGAUUUAUGAAAUUUAUAGAAAUAAUAUUCUCAAGAAUAUUAUUGACAAUCACUUGACAUGUGGGACCAAGGGAAUGAAUUAUUGAAAUCCGGGGAUUAAGAGGAAGGAUUUAUGGAAUUUGGAAUAUAGGAAAUGAUUUAUGGAACAAGGGGAAAUGAUUUUUUGAACUUAUGGAAAAGAAUAUUCCCGAGAAUAAUCUGUUUAGUCACUCAUUGACGUGUGGGGCCAACAAGGGAGAUAGACGGACUUUUGUGUAAGGGAGCUGAUUUGGUGGAAGGACGAAAUAUGAACUUUGAUUCAAGAGUGUGUUCACUGGGCUCGGACAGAGGGAGUAAAAGUGGACUUUGUUCCUUUUGGCCAAGGAGGGGGGUUGGCCGAUGGGCCUGGCCCAAGAGCGGGGAGGAGAGAGGGGGAGACGGCUGACUGGGCAGGGGCAGGCCCGGUCAACGCCAACGUGGGCAGCCACGUCGGAUGGGGAGAGAGGGGGGGCGGGAACCUCAUCGGACGGCCGGCGACGCUUGGCGCACUCCGGUGAACGGUGGCGAGCCAGAGGAAGUGGCUAGCACUGGCGGAGAGAGGAGGACAAGGGGAAUCAAUUCAACGGUUUGGAUUUGAGAGAGGAGGUACGACGGCUACCGGCGGCGGAGGCGAAGCUCGCUGGAUGUCCGACGUGGUCGCGCGCGAGGAAAGCGAAGGGCGCAUAGGCUCGGGCUCGGCUGACGCGGAAAGGUAUUGCGAUGCACACGCCGUGGCACGGAACCCAAUGGUCGCCGACGACGCGCGCGCGGCGGCGCUAUACGGCGGCGGAAGGGGCGGCACGGCGCGGGAGCGAUUGGGGAGGCCGGCGGCUGAGGCG
rnacentral:lncRNA from 1 species